UUGUUGUUGCUGGUUGCUCUUGUCGUGCUUGUUCAGGUCUGGCACGACGGCGACAGCACACGAGUGGAUUACCUACGAAAGGGACAGCGAGAGAACGCGACAGUUGACCAGCUCAAUCCUUGGGUGAAGACAAAAGGAGGGGUGGGCAUUUGUAUCCCUUGCAUACACAUACUCACCGGAGUGCACACAUUGGCAUUGGUGCGCCCACCACCCCCGCCCUACCCACGGGCUGUUCCUCUCCCGUUGCCCUAUCGCUCUGGCCAUAUUGCCUGUGAGUGACUGUAUGUGUCUUCCUUUCGUUCUUGUAGAGCAGAUCAAAUCGCGUUUCUCUGCAUCGUGCCCGCAGACACGCAUACAUACGUACAAGCACACAUCGUCUCUCGGCUAUCGCUGCAAAGAAGUAGAGAGGAGGGGGGGCUAAAACGUACGACAUACAUAACGGAAGGCUAUAUACGGCCGCAUCCAGCUGCGGCUUCGAUCUCCACCAUCUUACACCGCCACCCACGCCCGAUUCCCGACAUCGUCUCGUCCUCUUUCAAUUGCCGCACGCACACACACACAUUCUAAAGGUGUUUGAUUUUGUUGGCUGGUUUCUGUUUCUUGGCUGGUCUCCUUUUCUCUGUGUAUUUCUUCUCCCCUCUUUCACUUCAUUUGCACCUCAUUGUGUUAGCCUGCCUGUAGCAUUCAUGGUGACGGAUCUCUCUCUUGUUUUCGCUGUCGUACCCCUCUCCUCUUCCUCUACAUUCGCUCCCGUAUUCUUCUUGCGUCAUCUUCAUUGUUCUCUGUCUCUGUAACUCUCUCUCCCUGCUCUGUGAUGUGUUGGCGUCGUCCUGGUUCGCGACGCUCCCUCCCCCCCCCUCUCUUGCAUAUCCUCUGCUCUACGAGCGUCAUUUCCUUCGAAGCCCGUCUCACCGGCCUUUCUCUGGUUUUCGUUGUUCUUCUGGUGAGUUGUGGAGUGGCGAGUCUGACUGUGUUACGGGAGGACUGCAGUGGGCCGCGUUUUCUUUGUUUUUUCGUUUUUUUCUCUGAGGAGUGUGUGUGUUUCCUUCGCGGCAUCAUCCGCGUGUUGUGGAGAUUAGUCUCACGGAGCCAUCACACGCACAGACGCAAGUAACUCGCAUACCAUGUCCGCACGUCGUGCAAGCUCCCAACAUCGCGACCGGCCUCAGUCGUCCUCGCGCCGGCGCUACUAUGAAGACGAGGACUACAUGCAGCCGAGAGAUGAGCGCACGUCACACCCAACGCUUCAUUGGCACCAUUCGUCCCCGCAGCAGAAACCGCACCGACCCAGCAGCGCGUCGAAGCAGCGCAAAGGACUUAGUCAUGUCUCGCGAGAGCUGCAUCAGUACCUCAAGGAUGACCACGCGCCAGAGGACGGAGUGCCGCCUCUGCGUCGGCAGAGCACACAGCCACCGCGCCGCCGCAGCUCGCCAACAUGUCACUACAACGGGGGCAACGGCGGAGAAAGGGUCUGCCACCGACGAGCUGUAUCGUUAACGAGUCCCCGUCGCCGCUCGACGCCGCACAGACGUCGCUCGUCCUCUCGUCAUGCCGCAUCGGUGUAUCCUGCUUUGAGGACUGCCCCCGUAGCUGUUGGGGAUGGUAAACGAGCGUCUCCGCGUCGCUCUGCUCGCACCUCCACUGACGGCACACCUCGUCGUAGCCGACGCCAACACGAGCCGUCGCACGUUGGCUAUGACAGCGUGGCGCGCAGUCCUCGCCAACGUCACCGUCGCUCUUCCGCAAGCCCGCACCGCUCUCACACAUCAAAAGAGUCGCCUAUUCACCCCGAGCGCCGCGCCCCAUCCUCCUCACGUAAGUCACGGCAUGCAUCCACCGAGCCGCAUGCGCGUAGCUCCCAAGGCAGUGUCCGGUGCCACCGCCACUCACACACGACAAGUUCGACAGCGCCUGCACCAGCAACGGAGGCAGCACACCGGCACGAUGCGCUGCGGUACCGCAGUUCCCGUCAAGCCGAGGUGGCUGCCAAGCGUGAGGCGACACCGCACCGCUCUCGCCGGAACAGUCGAGCGAAAGCGGGCGGAAGCGCAGAGAAGGAAGCUCGCAGCCCGCGUCGGCAUACCAGUGUACACCGCAGUCGUAGCUCUCGGCCGGAGUCUAGGCACCAUUCCAAGCGGCGCCAUCGCCAUCAUCGCACCUCGACUCCUAACUCCGUGGAUGAGGGAAGCCGUCACCCUCGUCACACGUCCCUCUUCCGCCCACUAGCAGAGGACCCGUACACGGCGCCGCCGCCCCUAACCGGGUCCACGUAUAUCCGCUCCGCAGCCGACAGCCACACGACUGGCCGCCCUCGCUCUGGCUCCCACAUUGAGGUGAUCAGCGUGCACUCAGCGUGCCAGGUGCCGGCUAACGGAUGGUCGCACUCCUGCUCCAACACAGCUCACUCCCCUCGCCGGCCCUACGACAACGGCCCGCCGGUGGUGAUUCCUAGCCCACGAGGACAGCAGAUCAUGCAGCGCAUCGACUCCACCCGCCACUGGUUACAGAACAUGAAGGACGAGGUGAAGAAAGUCCGUGAGCGGGAGCUUCAGCAAGUAGAAGAUGUCGCACGCUCGCGUGCGACUCGGCACAGUGCGCGUAAGGAGUACCUCGACUCCACCUCACCCGCUGGCAGCGCAUGUCGGCAUCGCACCUCGUCCACCGGCUCGCGCCGGCACACGCGCGGGGAGACCCACGCAGCUGUGCAGGUGACAAGCCGCCAGGACGCGGGUGAGGCGAUUCCGCCGACGGCGUCCUCGGAGCGGUCUCAUCGUGCAUCCGAGCAGGUAUCGCCCCCAACCCGUGAGAAGCGGCACCGCAGCAGCCAGUGGCAUCUUCGUCGGCCGACGGCUCCAGCCGCUGCUCCUCGCGCCCCAGCCCCGGACCCAGACCUGUUCAGGGCACUGAUGGACUCCGUCAGCAGCUCUCGCGAGGAGGGGAUUGAUUACCCGAUCUUAUCCUUCAUGUCCUUCUUGGACGGCAACACGUUCGACAGCACCGCCAGUCUAUGCCAGUACAACGUCGACCUCGCCGACAGCCUUAGCGACCAGCACCUUGACAUUCUGCGCGCGGCCGUUUUCGACCACGACGAAGAAGCCUUUGCAGAGCUGCUCUACGGCGAUGAUGUAGAGGCGGAGAUUGGCGGUGCUGCGGCGGCGCUGGGCCACAGCGAUGACCCGACGGUGCAGCACGAGCUUGUUGUGCUCCAGCGGGAAGCCGUGCGGCGGUUUAAUGAUAAGUGCGCCAAAGCACUCCAGGCGCUGUUAUCAGCAGAGGGUGGUCUAGCAGAAGCGGUACAGGUGGCUGCUUCGCAGUUGGAGCGCCAAGCGUACCAAGCGGACGGAUCUUUGGUGAUUGUGCCGUGAAGUCGUGCUGGUGCAUGUGAGUGAUGGUGAUGACUCGGUUUCGAGGGAAAGAGAGAGCAGAUGAAGGCACACCACUCCUGUCAGCUGCGAAGGCUUCAAGAGCGUUUCUGCCGCAUCUAGCCCCGUGGACGCCGUCAUCUUUUUUUCGAACACACCUCCCGUGGGGUCGCGUUCGCAGCUCUCUCACUCUCUGCCGUGGACUGUAUGUUGCGGUGCCACACAACUGUGGCUUGGGUGUUGUGGAUAUCAUUACUUCUUUUCCCUUUAUAAAUCUCAGCGCGUCCAUACACACGUGAGCGCCCCUCUCGUAUAUGUACACUAGGAAAGGUGUGCCCACAUGAGGGGGAAAGGGGAGGAAAACACCGGAGCGUGUGCGUUGAGGUUAUGGGGGAGGGGGUGUUGGCCAUGGCAGGCAAGGGCCGAGGCUGGAGGAAGGUGCCGUAUCGCCGGCUCCUCUCCCAUCUCUGCCUGCGUGUGGGUGGGUGUGUCCGGUGUUGUUUUCAGCACUGCCGAACUCGCUGUGCUUCGCCUGCCCCACCACCACGCCCUCCUCCUCCCUAAAUGUGCAAAUAUAAUGGUGGUAAUGGCGGCCGAAACCCAUCGAUUGUUCAGUACAUAGUCAUUUUCUUUGUGUGUGCGUGUGUGUCUUUCUAAAUGAAGGCAUGUUGUCUUUGCUUUUGGCUCCUUUCUGCGUCAGUUCCACUUGGGAUCGCGGGACCAAUUCACGCGCGAACGACAUUGUAAAUUACGCCAGCGGAGGAACCGCAAGUGGUAUGCAAAGAAGGGAGACGCGUUGAAGGGGAGUGAGGACUUUUUGUUUGCGUGUGUCUGUGUGUGCGUCUGUGUGUGUAUGCGCUUCAGUGACGGCAUUCGCUGUCACAGCGCAUAAAAAAAAAAGAAACGAGAUGUGAAUUUCAGGCGCGCGAUUUCGUCU
rnacentral:misc_RNA from 1 species